rnacentral:ncRNA from 1 species
CAGAGUAGGGAAACCGCGUCAAGUGCCGGCAGAUGGGAUGUCGCCGCCGGACGAAGGCGAGGGGAGCGCAAAUGCCCCACGCCGCGAUGGAUUCCCGCGUCCGCUGU